rnacentral:rRNA from 1 species
UACGAAGGGGGCUAGCGUUGCUCGGAAUGACUGGGCGUAAAGGGCGCGCAGGCGGCUUACCAAGUCAGAUGUGAAAUAACCGGGCUUAACCUAGAAGGGUCAUUUGAAACUGGUAGGCUAGAGUACAGCAGAGGUUAGCGGAAUUCCCGGUGUAGUGGUGAAAUGCGUAGAUAUCGGGAGGAACACCAGAGGCGAAGGCGGCUAACUGGGCUUGUACUGACGCUGAGGCGCGAAGGCUAGGGGAGCAAACAGG